UGGGGAAUAUUGGGCAAUGGGGGAAACCCUGACCCAGCGACGCCGCGUGAGGGAAGAAGGUCUUCGGAUUGUAAACCUUUGUUGUAAGGGAAGAAACAAAUGACGGUACCUUACGAGGAAGCCACGGCUAACUACGUGCCAGCAGCCGCGGUAAUACGUAGGUGGCAAGCGUUAUCCGGAUUUACUGGGUGUAAAGGGUGUGUAGGCGGAGAGGCAAGUCAGAUGUGAAAUUUACGGGCUUAACCUGUGAACUGCGUCUGAAACUGCUUCCCUUGAGAGUCGGAGAGGUAACUGGAAUUCCAUGUGUAGCGGUGAAAUGCGUAGAUAUAUGGUGGAACACCGGUGGCGAAGGCGGGUUACUGGACGACAACUGACGCUGAGACACGAAAGCGUGGGGAGCAAACAGG
rnacentral:rRNA from 2 species